rnacentral:rRNA from 1 species
AUUGAACGCUGGCGGCAUGCUUUACACAUGCAAGUCGAACGGUAACAGGUUAAGCUGACGAGUGGCGAACGGGUGAGUAAUGCAUCGGAACGUGCCCGAUCGUGGGGGAUAACGCAGCGAAAGCUGCGCUAAUACCGCAUACGAUCUGAGGAUGAAAGCGGGGGACCGUAAGGCCUCGCGCGAUCGGAGCGGCCGAUGUCUGAUUAGGUAGUUGGUGGGGUAAAGGCCCACCAAGCCGACGAUCUGUAGCUGGUCUGAGAGGACGACCAGCCACACUGGGACUGAGACACGGCCCAGACUCCUACGGGAGGCAGCAGUGGGGAAUUUUGGACAAUGGGCGAAAGCCUGAUCCAGCAAUGCCGCGUGCAGGAAGAAGGCCUUCGGGUUGUAAACUGCUUUUGUACGGAGCGAAAAGGUCCUUUCUAAUACAAGGGGCUCAUGACGGUACCGUAAGAAUAAGCACCGGCUAACUACGUGCCAGCAGCCGCCGUAAGAC